CCUACGGGAGGCAGCAGUAAGGAAUAUUGGUCAAUGGACGAAAGUCUGAACCAGCCAUGCCGCGUGAAGGAUGAAGGCCCUCUGGGUUGUAAACUUCUUUUAUCUGGGACGAAAAAAGCUCAUUCUUGAGCACUUGACGGUACCAGAGGAAUAAGCACCGGCUAACUCCGUGCCAGCAGCCGCGGUAAUACGGAGGGUGCAAGCGUUAUCCGGAUUUACUGGGUUUAAAGGGUGCGUAGGUGGGCAGUUAAGUCAGUGGUGAAAUCUCCGAGCUUAACUCGGAAACUGCCAUUGAUACUAUCUGUCUUGAAUAUCCUGGAGGUGAGCGGAAUAUGUCAUGUAGCGGUGAAAUGCUUAGAUAUGACAUAGAACACCAAUUGCGAAGGCAGCUCACUACGGGAUUAUUGACACUGAGGCACGAAAGCGUGGGGAUCAAACAGGAUUAGAUACCCUGGUAGUCCACGCCCUAAACGAUGGAUACUCGACAUCAGCGAUACACUGUUGGUGUCUGAGCGAAAGCAUUAAGUAUCCCACCUGGGAAGUACGAUCGCAAGAUUGAAACUCAAAGGAAUUGACGG
rnacentral:rRNA from 1 species